GAUGAACGCUGGCGGCGUGCUUAACACAUGCAAGUCGAACGAAGAUGCCGGAGUGCUUGCACUUUGGCAGACUGAGUGGCGGACGGGUGAGUAACGCGUGGGUAACCUGCCUUAUACAGGGGGAUAACAGUUGGAAACGACUGCUAAUACCGCAUAAGCGCACGGUAUCGCAUGAUACAGUGUGAAAAACUCCGGUGGUAUAAGAUGGACCCGCGUCUGAUUAGCUUGUUGGUGAGGUAACGGCCCACCAAGGCGACGAUCAGUAGCCGGCCUGAGAGGGUGAACGGCCACAUUGGGACUGAGACACGGCCCAAACUCCUACGGGAGGCAGCAGUGGGGAAUAUUGCACAAUGGGGGAAACCCUGAUGCAGCGACGCCGCGUGAGUGAUGAAGUAUUUCGGUAUGUAAAACUCUAUCAGCAGGAGAUAAUGACGGUACCUGACUAAGAAGCACCGGCUAAAUACGUGCCAGCAGCCGCGGU
rnacentral:rRNA from 1 species